rnacentral:rRNA from 1 species
CGGACGGGUGAGUAAUGUCUGGGGAACUGCCCGAUGGAGGGGGAUAACUACUGGAAACGGUAGCUAAUACCGCAUAACGUCGCAAGACCAAAGAGGGGGACCUUCGGGCCUCUUGCCAUCGGAUGUGCCCAGAUGGGAUUAGCUAGUAGGUGGGGUAACGGCUCACCUAGGCGACGAUCCCUAGCUGGUCUGAGAGGAUGACCAGCCACACUGGAACUGAGACACGGUCCAG